CCUACGGGUGGCAGCAGUGAGGAAUAUUGGUCAAUGGCCGAGAGGCUGAACCAGCCAAGUCGCGUGAGGGAAGACGGCCCUACGGGUUGUAAACCUCUUUUGUCGGGGAGCAAAGAGAGUCACGUGUGACUCAUUGAGAGUACCCGAAGAAAAAGCAUCGGCUAACUCCGUGCCAGCAGCCGCGGUAAGACGGAGGAUGCGAGCGUUAUCCGGUUUUAUUGGGUUUAAAGGGUGCGCAGGCGGAGGUGCAAGUCAGCGGUCAAAUUGCGGGGCUCAACCCCGGCCUGCCGUCGGAACUGGGUGCCUUGAGUGGGCGAGAAGUAUGCGGAAUGCGUGGUGUAGCGGUGAAAUGCAUAGAUAUCACGCAGAACCCCGAUUGCGAAGGCAGCAUACCGGCGCCCUACUGACGCUGAGGCACGAAAGUGCGGGUAUCGAACAGGAUUAGAUACCCGAGUAGUC
rnacentral:rRNA from 1 species